UACAGAGGGGGCAAGCGUUGUUCGGAUUUACUGGGCGUAAAGGGCGCGUAGGCGGCCACCGCAAGUCAAUUGUGAAAUCUCCGGGCUUAACUCGGAAAGGUCAACUGAUACUGCGGGGCUAGAGUGCGGAAGGGGCAACUGGAAUUCUCGGUGUAGCGGUGAAAUGCGUAGAUAUCGAGAGGAACACCUGCGGCGAAGGCGGGUUGCUGGGCCGACACUGACGCUGAUGCGCGAAAGCCAGGGGAGCGAACGGG
rnacentral:rRNA from 1 species